GUUUUAUAUAAACUGAUGAAUCGAAAGUCAUGAAGGUAGCCAGAUCCACUGUGGCCAGAUCUAGAACUAUAUUAACCAAUACCUGGACAUUGUUUGGAAUGUUGGUAUAUGCAACAGUACUAUUUUCCUUUAAGUUUGUGACUGGGUGGGAACAGUAUUGUAAGUAAUAUGGUAGAAAUUCAAAUUAUGUGCUUAUUUAUAGUUAAGAUAUUCCUUGGUUCCAUUCUAAUGAAAUCUGAAUUGAAAUUAUUUCGAAUAAUGAAGUUCAUUUGAAGAUUAUGAAAAAAGGGACAUUUUUUUUCAGAAACAGGUCUAGAUCAUACAAUGUAUCUAUUUGAGGAUGAUCUCCUGUUGCAUGAAUAGUGUGUGGAGUAAACGACAACGAGACAGUUAUCCAGCAGCACAAAUAACCAAAAGAUAUUGUACAUUGUAGGACUCAAAAAGUAUUCAAGAGGGGUUUUGUCUAAUGUUACUUGAAAAUUACUUACUCUAUGUCAAUUAGAAGUGAGCUCACCAGACCUUUUGUAUAUCAAUUAAGACAUGUAUAUAUAACAGUAGGCUGUUCUGUGCCUUGCUUUAGGUAUUUGUGACACCAAUCCUUAUAUAAUAUUGACAAAGUUGAAGAAAAAAGAGAUAUUUUUCUAAUGUUUUCUAGUCAAAUUUCCAUCCAAUUAAACUCUUACACGUAGUUAUAAAUAAAUAGGAUUAAAGAACUUGUUGUUUGAACAGCGAGUGAGCAUACAAUAUUGUAUAAAACAUUUUUUUCAAUCACACAUAAUACUUUUAAGGUUGAUUUUAGUAUAUUUUAGCGAUACUGAGUUUGUCUAUAGUGUUAACAGCGACCAUUCCUACAUACUCUCUUGGAAUGGUCAAAGACACUUUAAAAGGAGCGUAGUAACAUUUAGUGGCUCAGAUUCCUCUAGACCUCAAGAUAGAUACAAAAUCUGCAUUCAAGCUAAGCAAUGGAUAUUAUUAGUAGCUGGUAUAACCAUAAAAUAUUAUACUGGAACUGGAACAAGUGCAAACUAUAAACAGUCAUUGAAUGGAAAUUCCGGUGACAAUUUAAAGGAAUGGUGUACAGAGGAAAGUGAAUUCUUACAUGUAGAACUGACUACACCAAAUAAAUAUUACUCACAGGGAUUGGUUCAUUUACAUGUACGGGCUGUUAGAACUUCCCACUAUCAAAAUUUUAAAGAAACGGUUGUUGUAGCAAUUAUAGGGAUGGUGGCUUAUCUGAUUCUCAUUGCAAUUGUUCGGGUUUUAAGAAGACAGCAGCACAUACAAAGAUCAUCUUAUGGGAUUAAAAGCACUGCUCAAACACUUGGCAAUUUCAGUCAAGGACAAUCAUACAUCACAGAUCCAUCAAGAGAAAUCCGACCAUAUUACAGUCAAUUCAGAUGACAUCCAUACCAGGACAAGAAAAGCAUUGACUACCACAUCAACAGAAAUAGGGUUCAUCUCAGGUUACCCUGUAACAUAAACGUUAUAUUAAUGUUAUGUAAAUUAUAUUGUUUUAUUAUCUUUAAAUACAAUUCUUAUUUGGUUU